rnacentral:rRNA from 1 species
CCUACGGGAGGCAGCAGUGAGGAAUAUUGGACAAUGGGCGCAAGCCUGAUCCAGCCAUGCCGCGUGCAGGAUGACGGUCCUAUGGAUUGUAAACUGCUUUUAUACGAGAAGAAACACCCCUACGUGUAGGGACUUGACGGUAUCGUAAGAAUAAGGAUCGGCUAACUCCGUGCCAGCAGCCGCGGUAAUACGGAGGAUCCAAGCGUUAUCCGGAAUCAUUGGGUUUAAAGGGUCCGUAGGCGGUUUAGUAAGUCAGUGGUGAAAUCUCCCCGCUCAGCGGGGAAACGGCCAUUGAUACUGCUAGACUUGAAUUAUUAGGAAGUAACUAGAAUAUGUAGUGUAGCGGUGAAAUGCUUAGAGAUUACAUGGAAUACCAAUUGCGAAGGCAGGUUACUACUAAUGGAUUGACGCUGAUGGACGAAAGCGUGGGUAGCGAACAGGAUUAGAUACCCUGGUAGUCCACGCCGUAAACGAUGGAUACUAGCUGUUGGGUGCAAACUCAGUGGCUAAGCGAAAGUGAUAAGUAUCCACCUGGGGAGUACGUUCGCAAGAAGUAGAAGUUAAAUAGUUAAGUUAGUAGNGNGNGAGNGCGAGACGACGACGAGGAGAGG